AGAUUUUUCUGUGACAGUUGUUGUGGUAGGUGUUUCUGUGACAGUUGUUGUGGUAGGUGUUUCUGUAACUGCUGUUGUGGUAGGUUCUUCUGUGACUGUUGUGGUAGUUUUUUCUGUCACUGUUGUUGUUGUGGUAGGUUUUUCUGUGACAGUUGUUGUGGUAGGUUUUUCUGUCGUUGUUGUGGUAGGUUCUUCUGUGACUGUUGUGGUAGGUGUUUCUGUCACUGUUGUUGUGGUAGGUUCUUCUGUGACUG